GAUGAACGCUGGCGGCGUGCCUAAUACAUGCAAGUCGAGCGAACGGACGAGAAGCUUGCUUUUCUGAUGUUAGCGGCGGACGGGUGAGUAACACGUGGAUAACCUACCUAUAAGACUGGGAUAACUUCGGGAAACCGGAGCUAAUACCGGAUAAUAUUUUGAACCGCAUGGUUCAAAAGUGAAAGACGGUCUUGCUGUCACUUAUAGAUGGAUCCGCGCUGCAUUAGCUCGUUGGUAAGGUAACGGCUUACCAAGGCAACGAUGCAUAGCCGACCUGAGAGGGUGAUCGGCCACACUGGAACUGAGACACGGUCCAGACUCCUACGGGAGGCAGCAGUAGGGAAUCUUCCGCAAUGGGCGAAAGCCUGACGGAGCAACGCCGCGUGAGUGAUGAAGGUCUUCGGAUCGUAAAACUCUGUUAUUAGGGAAGAACAUAUGUGUAAGUAACUGUGCACAUCUUGACGGUACCUAAUCAGAAAGCCACGGCUAACUACGUG
rnacentral:rRNA from 1 species